rnacentral:lncRNA from 1 species
AUACAGCAGCAGCCAGAACCCACAGUUCACGUUGAUGCAUUCCUUUAUGAUGAAGACUUUAUUGAUUCAUUAUGUGAGGAAGGAAAAAUGAGCAGAAACUACUGUAUGGUGUGUGGCUCACACCAGACUGCACCUUUAGGUAGGCAUUCAACUAUGCAAACCUGAUGAUUUUGUGUCUUUUCUUUACAUUUCAUGAGAAUAUAAAUUCUUUUUUUUUAAUUAAUUUUAUUUUAAGUUUAUUUAUUUUUGAGAGAGCACUUGCGAGCAGGGGAGGGUCAGAGAGAGAGAGGGAGAGAGAGAAUCCCAAGCAGGCUUCACUGUCAGCACAGAGCCUGACGUGGGGCUUGAUCCCACCAACUGUGAGACCAUGACCUGAGCCGAAUCAAGAAUCAGACGCUUAAUCAACUAAGCCACCCAGUUGCCCAAGUAUGCAAACUCUUGACCAAGGCAUUCAAUGGUUUUUGAAAGAAAAAGGCCAACCUCCAACAUAGCCAUUAGCAAUUAUUGAGGUUUAGGGAGGCAAAAUAGAAAUCUAACCCAGGAAAGUUAGGCCACUUAAUGCCUCCAGGGAGGGUCUCUCUGCUUUUCACAGAAGUGACUUUUCAGGUCCAGAAACUAAUCAGAAAUAACUGAGUACAGGGAAACCAACUUAUACUUUCCAAACUUACAAGAAAUUCAUAGAUAAACCAUAAUGCUAAUUCGUUUACAAUGAGAACUAUAACUGCAGGGGGGCUGAAAUGUUCUUAUAAAAGCAUCUACUUGAGAAGUCAGAUAGGGGCACCUGGGUGGCUCAGUUGGUUGGGCGUCUGAAUUCAGCUAAGGUCAUGAUAUCACAGUUCACGAGUUUCAGCCCCACGUCGGGCUCUGUGCUGACAGCUCAAAACCUGGAGCCUCCUUCGAGUUCUAUGUCUCCCUCUCUCUCUCUGUCUCUUCCUUGCGCUCUCUCUGUCUCUCUCUCUCCCUCAGAAAUAAACAAACAUUAAAAAAAAAAAAAAGAUAGUAACCAGAUAUUGUUGGAUGGGCAUGGAUUCAGAGGACAGAGAUAGAUAAUCUUGGGAGCACCUGGGUGUCACAGUUGAUUAAGCAUUCAACUUCGACUCAGGUCAUGAUCUCACUGUUCAUGAGUUUGAGCCCCUCAUGGGGCUCUGUGCUGACAGCUCAGAGCCUGGAGCCUGCUUUGGAUUCUGUCUCCCCUUGUGUCUCUCUGCCCCUCCCCCACUCACACUGUCUGUCUGUCUGUCUCUCUCUCUCAAAUGUAAAUAAACAUUUAAAAAAAAUUUUAGGGGCACCUGGGUGGCUCAAUCGAUCAAGUGUCCAACUUCAGCUCAAGUCAUGAUCUUAUGGUUCGUGGGUUCAACCCCUGCAUUGGGCUCUGUGCUGACAGCUCAGAGCCUGGACCCUGCUUUGGAUUCUGUGUCUCCCUCUCACUCUCUGCCCCUUCCCCACUCACAUUCUCUCUCUCUCUCUCUCUCUCUCUCUCUCUCUCAAAAAUAAAUAAACAUUAAAAAAAACUUUUUUUUUUUAAUUUUUUCUUAAAAAGAUGAUCUUGAGAAAGAGUUUAUUCAGGCCAUGAUUUGACCUAGUGAAACAUCUCCAGUCCAUAAGAGAGUACAGCUCUAGUGACAGAAAGUCUCUUGCAUCUCUGCCCCUAAGAUGCAACACUUAUGUCUCAAAUGGGAAGCUAGACUAACCCCAUGCUACUAAUAUGCUAACUCUUCUGUUAAUAUAUUCUUUGUUCAAAUUGGAUAUGAUCAUCUAGGCUGUUGCUUUAGACAUGCUAUUUCAAUCUUCCUGGUCACUUAGAUUUAGUUAUUGCUUAUAGUGGCCUACCCCUCCAGGUAAGUAAUCUUGUGUUGAUAUUACUGAUCUCAGAUAAUAUCAUUGUCAAAAGUUGACUACUACCAAAUUUGUAAUGUGCUGCUAAUACAAAUAUAUUGUCUCUAUAUUAUAAUGGGGAAUUAAACUUCCCUGAUUUACUUGUUUAAGAUUCUAUUUUUUUUUUUAAUUUUUUUUUUUUAAUUUUUUUUUUCAAUGUUUAUUUAUUUUUGGGACAGAGAGAGACAGAGUAUGAACGGGGGAGGGGCAGAGAGAGAGGGAGACACAGAAUCGGAAACAGGCUCCAGGCUCUGAGCCAUCAGCCCAGAGCCUGACGCCGGGCUCAAACUCACGGACCGCGAGAUCGUGACCUGGCUGAAGUCGGACGCUUAACCGACUGCGCCACCCAGGCGCCCCAAGAUUCUAUUUUUAGAUAGUACUCACAAUUUCCAUUUGAGAUAGUUAAAAUUCAAGAAUAGAAAAGGACUCAGAUAAGAACCAUAAAAGGAAAACUAAAAAGUGAAUUACAACUAUAAUACCAUAUCAGAUCUGAUUUGCAGAAGUCUAAAGAAGAGAUAUGUUUGACACAUAGAAAUUUGAAAAUUACAAAGCAUUUUGUGGGAAAAUAGAUGCAUUUUCCCAUAGAAAUCAGGUUGUAAAUAGUGACUAGGUGUGCAGGCCAGCCCAUAUAACUACAGUGAAUCUGAAAAAACUAUCAUCUUGUGGAACUCUCCUUCUAUGAAAAGGGGCUUGUCUAGCUGUAAGACACUAAUGAUGACUCUGUAACCCAAGGCAGAAGCACUAAUGUGACAAAGAGGGUAGUGAGGAUGAGGAUUCUAGGCAGAAAAGGAUAGUAGUGGUCAAACGCUUUAUUUCCUUCCAAGGAUUAGCCUGCCUGCUUCCCAUUUUCUUUGCCACCAUCUAUUACUUACAGCCAAAGUAUCUCCCCUUCCUACCAUUAUAUUAUGUAGAACAUAAUAUAGCAAGUCUUUAAAAAAUAUACUUAGGCUCUUCCAGAUACUUGAUUACACAAACAAUGGAGUGAGAUGAGCUAGGAGGCUUGUAACAGUUAAAAAAUUAUAGCAAUUAAACUCAGAAAUAAAAAUAAUUUAUGGGAAUAUCUUCGCCUCCCCUCAUACCAGCCUCCUCCUGCACUCCAGAACACAUUUUAGGUCAGUCAGGGCUGCCACACUGCACAACUCCAGAGAUGGUCAUUCAUUUGAUAGUGUGUGUUCUAUGCAGUAGUGUGUGGCUGUUCUGUGGUUGCUCUGGGAUGAGGGGAGAAAGCCAGAUGGUAUGGGAGUUAGGAAGCAUCCCACAGAAUAAGAGUCCUAAGGAAAAGAAGGGAAAAACCAAGGACAAGGAAGUGAGGGGCACAGGGAUAGGGACAGGUUGCUAAGUAGCUGUUCCCUAAAUGUCAGAGACUUCAUGUUUAUUCUUCUCUAAUACAGCUCAGAGUGAAUGAGUACAAAAUUAUCACAUUAAUUUUUUCUAAAUAACCUCUGAAUGGCCUUUGUUGAUGAAGAGAAAAACAUGAAAUAUGCUUUAUAGGGGCACCUGGGUGGCUCAAUCUAUUGGGCAUCCAACUUCAGCUCAGGUCAUAAUCUCAGCAUUUGUGGGUUCGCACCCCACGUCGGGCUCUGUGCUGACAGCUCAGAGCCUGCAGCCUGCUUCAGAUUCUGUGUCUCCAUCUCUCUCUGCCCCUCCCUCCCUCCUUCUCUCUCUCUCUCUCUCUCUCUCUCUCUCUCUCUCAAAAAUAAACAUUUUAAGAAAUUACAAAAGAGGGGUGCCUGGGUGGUUCAGUCAGUUAAGCGUCCAACUUUGGCUCAGGUCAUGAUCUCACAGUUCGUGAGUUCAAGCCCCUCAUCAGGCUUUGUGCUGACAGCUCAGAGCCUGGAGCCUGCUUCGAAUUCUGUGUCUCCCUCUCUGCUCUUCCCCUGCUCAUGCUUUGUCUCUCUCUCCCCUUCAAAAAUAAUUAAAACAUUAAAAAAUAACAGUAAAAAAAAGAAAUACACUUUAUAAAUAUGGUUAAAAGAAUUAGAAAUACAGAAGAGAAUGUUUAAUACCCAAGUACAAUUUGAUGUUUAUUCUGUUCUAAUUCUCCAGGAUUUAUUUCUCAUUCCUUCUCCCUCAUGGAAUUGAAGUUCAUUUAUCAUCAUGUCCUCCCUGAUCUGUCGGGAAAGGUCUUGGUUGACGUUGGCUCCAGGCUUGGCACAGUCCUUUAUGGGGUAAAGUCCAGCUUGUGGACACACUCAACAUUUGGAAAAUACUUUCUUCUCCUGCUAGCAACAAUUUUGCCUGCCACCAUCCAAGGUGACAGCUUGGCUUUAUUUAUUAGAGUAACAGAAUAAUAAGGUUAAAAUAAUAUACUGGACUUGGAAUUUCAAAGGCCAGCUCUCUGAUAUCCUUUACUAGUUUGUCUCUGUGACACAAAUGAAGGAAUAGCAACAAAACAGAAGCAGGUGACCCUCAUAACACUUUGCUGUUUUGCCCAUCACUACUGAUGGACUGAGGUUUGGUAAGAGCUUUUAUUAAAACUUUUAUAAAAUUUACCUAACCUAGGAAAUUGCAUAUGGCCGUAACCAAGUCACUUAACACCCUGGCUUCAAGCUCCUCACCUGUAAAUAAGCUAACUAAAUGAUAUCCAAGGACACAUCUUGCUCCAAUUUUCUGUGGUUCAAGUUUGAACGGAGACAUUUGUUUCUGAAGUAUCACUUCAAGGUGGCUUUUUAAAAAAAAUUCAAAUCACGAGUAUUUCUAAUGUUCUUAAAUGGUUUUAUCAAAAAACUUAAAUGUGGUUUCUGGUUGUCAUUAGCAGACUUGUUAAAACAUGUGGCCAACAGCAGUAGAGACUCAUACCAGAAACAGGCACCAUCAGUUCCCAGCAUCCGUUGCUGCUCUAAUCAGAAAGUUAACUCUUUAGUGCUUAGUUUAUGUUUUAGUGUUAAGACUUACAUUCUAUAAUUAGCAAUGAUAUCUGUAGUAGAAAAUACAGAUCGUCAGAUGGUUUUGUUUGGAGAACAUUAGAGAUUAUGAUUGUUUACCAUAUUUGCUCCACUCUUGUCCAUUUUCUGAUUUGUUGGAAGAGUAUAUAGCUGAAAGAAAUCUGGCUGUGCAGGUAUGUGGCAGCGUUAAUAAAUUUAAACAUAUUGUCAUUUUUCUCCAUAUUAAUAUGGUUAACGAUUCAACAGAAAUUUUUGAAUAGCUACAUAUGUUCUGUUGAACAUAUUGUAAAAAUCCAUCAUGAGCUGUGAAUACAAAUCUGGUUUAUACAUGGGUGUUAGUUGAUGUAAAAUGAUAUUCAGAAUAUGAUUUGCCUUUCCUUCCAUAUUAUUUUUUUUGUAAUUGCGACCAAAAAUGGAUACGUUAUAAUAUCUAAUCCGUUCUUGAUUGUUCUUGUUGACUGAUUGGUCAAUUAUCUUUGGCAGAUUGCAGACACCAGACUGACUUCCCUAAGCCCAACAGGACACAUCUCCAGCCACCUUCCUCUAGUGUCAGACUGUGCAUGAUUUUCCAUUAUAUUCCCCAUGGGUUAACUCCUUUCUUGAUUUCCCCUGAUAAAACUUUCCAAGAAAUUACAGAAAUAGGGUAUUAAACAGAGAAUCUGUAUGUGAUCACUUUUCUUACUUCCAACUUUGUUGAAUGCACGGUUUUAUCAGGAAAAGUAAGAAGAGAUCAAUCUUUCAAAACAUGAUUGCUUUUAAAUAAUAGAAAUUAAUAAACUACAAUCAAGGUCUUGAUCAGUAAGAGUCUUUAAGUUCUUGAAGUUGUAAGUUUUACAUACACUACAAGUUAUUAUUUAUCUUUCAUUUUAUUUUUACUUUAUUGAAUUCCAUUUUUUUUAAGUUUGAUUUUUUAAAUUUUAGGUAGAAAUGAACUCACAGUUAAUUCAUUUGCAUCACAGUGUGUCUUCAUCUUUUUCAGGGUUAUCUUUACAGUUCAGCAUUGCAACUAUAUGGAGUAGAAUUGAAUGGAGAUUUUUGCCAGUUGCAGGAAAUGGUUAUUAAAAAAUACCAGUUCACUGACAGAAUAAAGGUACCCUUUUAUUUAUUUAUUUAUUUAUUUAUUUAUUUAUUUAUGAGGGACAGUCAACACAAAGUGUUACAUUAGUUUCAGGUGUACAACAUGGUGGUUGACAAGUCUGUACAUUAUUCUGUGCUCACCAUGAGCAUAGGUACCAUCUGUCCCCACACAGCACUAUUACAGUACCAUUGACUGUGUUUCCUAAGCUGUAUUAAAGGUACCCUUUUAAAUAUACGUUCUGUUAUAGGGGCGCCUGGGUGGUUCAGUCAGUUAAGCAUCUGACUUCGGCUUAGGUCAUGAUCUCGCGGUCCGUGAGUUCAAGCCCCGCAUCGGGCUCUGUGCUGACAGCUUAGAGCCCGGAGCCUGCUUCAGAUUCUGUGUGUGUGUGUCUCUCUCUCUUUGCACUUCCCCUGCUCGCUCUCUCUCUCUCUCUCAAAAAUAAAUAAACAUUAAAAAUUAAAUAUAUAUAUGUAUAUUUCUGUUGUCUUUCUUAUACCAUAAUUUAGCCAAGUUUCUUCUGAAUUGGAGUUAGAAAAUCUUUUUGAAUCUAUUCUUGGUUGCUGUUGUGUAGAAAUAGGUGGAGUUGACUUAAUAUUUUAAAACAUUAAUAAAGAUGAAUGAAAUUAUAAUUAUCUUCCACUCCUAUUUCUCUUCCUCCCCAGUGUUAUUAGAAAGUGGAAUUUUUUUUCUUAAUCUCUUUCAUCUCCACUUUAGUACAGUUUUGGUAGCA